rnacentral:lncRNA from 10 species
AAGCAACCAUCAUUGCUAAAUGCUGGUCAAUUUCUGGCUGGUUUGCAGAUUCUCCCUCUCCCUUUAGAGGAUCAUGCAUUAACUUCAGUUCACUUUCCCAAUUGGAAUUUUUGUUAUGUGCAGCAAGAUUGACUGCUGGGGGAUCAAUGACUGAGCCUGGGAAAAGCUGUGCAAGUUCGGCAUUAAUCACAACGGAAACUGCUUCAUUGGGUGGAGUGAGUGGUGGAGUCAUAAAAAGAGGUGUUGUUUUUGGAGUGGGUGGAAUAACAUCAGAUGGAUGAAUGAAGAAUCCAGGGGCAGCCACUGGGUUGGAAGGCACAGAGUUGUGAACAGGAGUUGUCUGAUGUAACUUGGCUUCCAGCUUUGCUUUCUGCAAAAAAUAUCACAAAGACUUUACCUCAAUUUUUGUUGAAACUGAUUAGCUCAGAUCAGUCAACCUACGUUUCUUUAUGAAAAUAAUGGUCAUUUUUAAAGUACUUUUUCAGCUUUUGAAGUUUAGAGACAGCAUGAACAAAGAGCCAAAUAGUCUCCAACCUGUUGCUGAAGCUUCAAAAGCUGCUGCUGUUUCUCUUGCAGCACCUGUAGCUGUUGCUCGGCUGAAGCCAUUGCAUGAGAGAGAGACUGCAAAGCUACCUGGGCUGCUGAACUCAGGGCUGUCGAGGCUUCCCCAACUGUCCCAGAUGAUAGUCCACCUACUGCAGGAGUAACCCCGAAGGAACUCACUGGCAUAAGACAAGG